CAUAUGCUUGUCUCAAAGAUUAAGCCAUGCAUGUCAGUAUAAGCAAUUAUACCGUGAAACUGCGAAUGGCUCAUUAAAUCAGUUAUCGUUUAUUUGAUAGUACCUUACUACUUGGAUAACCGUGGUAAUUCUAGAGCUAAUACAUGCUAAAAACCCCGACUUCGGGAGGGGUGUAUUUAUUAGAUAAAAAACCAAUGCCCUUCGGGGCUCUUUGGUGAUUCAUGAUAACUUAACGGAUCGCAUGGCCUUGCGCCGGCGACGGUUCAUUCAAAUUUCUGCCCUAUCAACUUUCGAUGGUAAGGUAUUGGCUUACCAUGGUUUCAACGGGUAACGGGGAAUUAGGGUUCGAUUCCGGAGAGGGAGCCUGAGAAACGGCUACCACAUCCAAGGAAGGCAGCAGGCGCGCAAAUUACCCAAUCCCGACACGGGGAGGUAGUGACAAUAAAUACUGAUACACGGCUCUUUUGGGUCUCGUAAUUGGAGUGAGUACAAUCUAAAUCCCCUAUCAAGAGACACAAGUAGGGGACGUGUCGGGCGCCCACCCAUAUAAAUUUCCCCGCGGCCCACAGGGGCCGGGAGAACGCGCCACGUGGCCCCCUAUUCCCCCUAUUGGAGAGUCGUUUACAAUUCAGUGCGGGCGUUUCACCACGUCGUGGACUGGAACACCGUCGGGUUCC
rnacentral:rRNA from 1 species